GGUGCUUGUUCGGCAGCACAUACUAAAGUUGGAAUAAUACAGAGAAGAUUAGCAUGAUCCCUGCACAAAGAUGACAUGCAAAUUCAUAAAAAGCACUCAUAUAUA